UCAUCUAAAAAUUAAAGCAAUACAAAUGAGAAAUGGGAACCUUCACAUUUAAGAACAAAACAGAUGUCAGUUGCCCUACAGAUUUACAUGCAGAUCUCAAGGACUGAUGUCCAAAUUUAUUUCAAAACGGUCAUGUCAGCAUGGAAUGCAGUUGCAACAGGCAAGAUGUGCAACUGCUAUGGUUAAAACCCACAAAAACUCAUACAUAUAACAUUAGAGGUUUAUGAAUGAAGCCAACAAAGGCUGCCAAGGGUCACAUUUCAUCUAAAAUGAUAGCAAUGUUGAAUUGCUUCAGUUUGACAUUGAGCAGGAAUAAAAGCCUCUUCCUAAUAUUUAGAUCAUGCAAUGUGAUUGUAUCAAGCAAGAAAAAGUACCUGAUUU